rnacentral:tRNA from 1 species
GCCCAUGUAGUAUAGUGGUAAGUACUCCUCGUUGUGGCCGAGGCAACGCAGGUUCGAAUCCUGCCAUGGGCA